GUGACAUGAUGAACUUGUUUAUCCAUUCUCUGAGUGUCUCCCGGCCCCCUCUCUCACACUGACGCUCAGAGCCGUUCAGGGUCUGAGCGCCGGUGCUGCUGGUCUCCAGCUCUCUGCUGCAGUGUUUUACUGUAGCAGCUGCUCUUGGAGGCCCAUGCAGGUUUGGAGGGCCUGGUUUCACCAAAGACGAGCUGACAUGUCUGAUCGC